GUGAAAAAUGCAUUAUAACAACACCAAGCGCUGCCAUUUACAAAAGAAAGAUUGUUUAUGGGACAUUAAAUUUAAAAAUUUUGAGUUUGUGGGCAUGCAAAAAGCCAUAUCCACUAACUAAACCAAAACUUUGAAUUGAUGUACAAUCUCUCUUCCUGAGGCAGGACAUAAAAUGUGGCUUUGGCUAUAUAUAUAGUCAUUAAAGGUGCGCCUGAGGUGCAAGGGGCAUUGGGUGAAGCCCCGAGUGCCUCAAACACUAAAAUAUGGGUGACCUUAAUGAGGGGUAUGCCUCUGCAAUUUUUAAUUCUGCAGCUGUGCAAUUUUUUCUUUCCUUUUUUUUAAUGCUAUUUGUUCUUGGAAUCUCAACUAUUAAUCCAGCUUUAUAGGUGACCUUACAAUGAUCAUUCACACCAAAUCAAAUUAAAACAAGAAAGAAAGAAAGAAGCUAUGUUACUUUAGAUUAGACAUGACAAUCAUUUCACACAAGGAUUUUAGGAUUUUCUGCAGCACUAAGUUAGGCUUAUUCUGUCUAAAAUUGCUAGGAUUUGAAGAGGAUGCAUAUAAUACUGGAACUGUAGAAGGCAAAAAUGUCAUACUUAUCUCCACUCCAAAUAAUAGGCCAAAGGAAGCAAAAACAUCAUUUUCUAAUUUGAGGGCCACUACUUCUCUGAUACUGAUGGGGAAAAGGAAGAUAACUAUUUCGAAGUGUUGUAUGAAGAGGUUGAAGAAGAAAAGAAUCUUGUAAGUCAUUAAUUUAAAUUUACUAGAACAAUAAAAAGCAAAAAUGUCAUACUUUUCUCCACUCCAAAUGAUUGGCCAAAGGAAGCAAAAGCAUCAUUUUCUAAUUUGAGGGCCACUACUUCUCUGAUACUGAUGGGGAAAAGGAAGAUAACUAUUUCGAAGUGUUGUAUGAAGAGGUUGAAGAAGAAAAGAAUCUUGUAAGUCAUUAAUUUAAAUUUACUAGAACAAUAAAAAGCAAAAAUGUCAUACUUUUCUCCACUCCAAAUGAUUGGCCAAAGGAAGCAAAAG
rnacentral:misc_RNA from 1 species